rnacentral:tRNA from 1 species
ACUUAGCUGGUUAAAGCACCUGUCUAGUAAACAGGAGAUCUGGGCUUGAAUCCCAG